UGUGUUCAUCUACAGUUCUGUUGUCAUAAACAGAAUGAAUGUGUAGAGGCAGUUUGGGUUCAGAAUAUGUGAAUGAAUGAAAGAAUAAAAUCCAGGUGGAGGUUCCAGGUGGAGGAGGUGGUUGAGUGUGGAGCAGAAGGAGUGGAGGAGUCUCAGUGUGUCUGCAGAGACUGUGUAGAAGGACAGAGCAGCAGCAGAGCAGUCCAGAUACACUGAUGAUACUCUGUCACAUCCAGAGGAACACACAGGGAUGAUGGUGGACUUGACAUUGUGUCUGACAGUGGAGCUGAUCUCAGAGCAGUUCAGACUGCAGCACUGAGAGUCAUCUCCACUGGUUGUGAUUCCUCUGUCAGUCACUGCUGGAUGAAGCUCUCCUCUCCACUCUACCUCCCAGUAACAUGGCCCAGUCAGAGCUGAUGCUGCUGCUUCAACCUCUCUGGAUCAUCAGGACACAGCUGAUCCUCCAACACAACCUCCUUCCUCACCACUCCCACUCUUACUGAGAUCACCACCAUCUGAGGAGAGAAGAAGGCAGACAACAGAAGUCAUAAAUCAGUGUUUACAGAGACUCCCUCCAUCAACACAUCCAGUAUAAAGACCUACAGGGACUUCAGUCCAGUUCAGACCAGAAGUCUGUCACCAUCCUCCUCUCACAGCUUCACUGAGGAAAGCAGCAAAUACUGGAUCUUUGCUUUGAUACUAACUGUGUUUAGUACAAUUCUGCUGAAACCAGCAUGGACUGAUGUCAACCCUCUACUGACCGCAGAGUCUCCAGUCUACAGAGUGGACUCUCCACAAGAUCAGACAGCAGCUUCACAUCUGAAUCCUGCAGAUUGUUGUCACUCAGGUCCAGAUCUCUCAGAUGGGAGGGGUUGGACUUCAGAGCUGAGGCCACAACUUCACAGUGAGUCUCUGAGAGU